rnacentral:tRNA from 2 species
UCUAUAGUGGCUUAAUGGUAAAGCUUUUGGUUGUUAACUAAAAAAAUACCAGUUCAAUUCUGGUCUAUAGAG